GGGGGCGUCCCGCGCUGGGGGGGGCGUCCCGCGCUGGGGGGGGGCGUCGCUCGUUACCGUGUCUCGGAGUCGGCGAUGCAGAAUGAUCUCUUGGGAUAAUCUCUGUUUUAUUGUGUAUUUGGAUCAGAACACAUAACAAGAUUGCUUUUUUUGUUUUUUAGGAUAUCUCCUCUCCAAAAAUAGAUAUUGCUACCCCACUGAUUUCUGAGUUUUUGUUGUAAUUAACAGUAUUAUUAUCAGAGUCCUAUUCUACACUUUCUGAAUAGUAUCGUUAGAACCUGUGCAGGAUGUUUUGAAACAUAACUAUCAUCUAUUCCAUAAACCGAGAAAUUGAACAUAUUCUCAGUACAAAGUUUUAAUGUAUUUUCAAAAGCUUUCAUCUUGAAAGCACUUUUAUUGAAGUCAAUGAGAAUAUUGCUAUGUUUAAACAUUUCUUGAAAUCAGGGCCAGGAUACCUAUUCUGCUUGCUUCUUGAUACUUCUUUGAUGAAACCAUGAAUCUUUUGUGACUGGAUGUACACAGAGUGAUCUGCAUCUGGUAGAACAUAAAUACUUUUCUAAGCUAUUCUACAGUUCCAGAGGAGAGUUUUCAACAAAUGUCACAAUAUAAUAAAAAUAAAUUAUCUAUCUUCUCAAAUGUUUAAGUAUCUGCUAAAGAUCCUAAUCAUCGGCUUUGGCUGUUUAAGGUCUAAGUUUUAGCUUGUUCAUAUUUCAGCAGGACCACUGCCAUAUUCCUGGAGACACUCUUGCCCUCAGCCCAAAGUCCUUCAAUUUGACAACAGACUGUGUUACUAAAUAACACUGCAAGCUCCGUGGAUGAUGCCACAAAACAAUGACAUAAAGUAGAAAGUUCUGAUUAUUCCUGGCUUGUCUGAAAUGUCAAGAAAUAGGGCAAAAAAUUCCAGCUCUGACCUGGAUAAAUUCUUAAAUUUAUAUUACUUGGAACUAAGUUGAAGAAUUUUAUUUUUAAUCGAAAGACAAUUCAUUUGAAAGUUCAAUAUGGUUUAAAUUAAGGGCGGUGUUUCAGUAUCCAGAAAUUAUUCUGAGAACAAACUUGAACAUGUUUUAAAAAAAUGAAUUAAAUGUUGUAUUUUCUUUCUGAAAUGCACACAAAGUGCAUAUGUUCAGCUCCUCAAGUUUAAUAUAGAUAGCAGUGAUGUAAAAAGGUAAAAGCGCUAUCAUUAUUUAUUAAUGGUUACAAUUUUCCCAUUUUUGGUAUAUUUAUUGUUUCAACAAAUCUGAAUGUUUCAGCAGAGCAUUUCAGCAUGACGUAUAUUCUUACAUCUUGAGAACUAUGUGUAGUCGUGAUUCAUAUAUACAUUUUAUUAAUGUAUAUAUAGAUACAGGUAUAUAUACAAAAUUUAAAACUUUGAAAAAAUGGCCGUAUCUUGUUAAUUAUAAGUACCUAUUUUUAAUAGUGCUUGUCUACCAGAAGUACCUCAUCGGUCCAGAGGUGCCAUUCGCACGUGCUACUCAGUGCUACCUCUUUGCUAAUAAACAUUACGCAUCUGCUAGGAAAUGUAGACUCAGAUUCAUUACCGAGUGUACGUCCUGCAUUGUAUCACAGCUGAGAAAUUUGCAGAGGUCUUGGAGGCAGUUCAUUGUAUACCAGAGGAAGUAGAAAGAAUCUUCUUUACAACCAGUGCAGUAACAGCUAGUACUGACCUUGUUUCAGCUGGAAUUUGUGCCUUGCAUAGCUUUCAACAUUUUUUCCUCAUCUUCAGUAUAUUAGGGAUCUUCAUACACAACUGGGAAAUUUGUCACAGAUGCUGAAAACUUUUGACUAUAGUACAAAACACUGGAUUACUUACAAAAAAUGGACUGUGGAAAAUCAUACUUGAGCUAACAAAGGGAGAAAGAAGGAGGCAGCUAAAGCUACGUGCUAGCGUUUUUGAUGCAGCACAAUGUAGUAAUAACAUCAUAAUAGUAUUGAAAUCUAUCAUAUUUUUCUCUAACUUGGCCUCUCUAUUCAACGUGUAUAUUCAACUUUACGCUUUGCUGCGCAAAACAUUUUCAUGAAUAAUUAUGGCAAUUCCUCUGCUUAAUUCUAUUAUAACUUUCUUCUGUUGAAUUGCUUACAAAAAACUACAUUAGCUUUGUUGCAGUAUUCAUCUUUUACCACAACUAUGUGUAUAUAUAUGCAGUCCAUUUUGCUUUUGUUCUUUGAAUGUGAGAGCUCACCUUGUUUAAACAGUCUGAAAAUAUUCACUACUCUGACUCUCAGGGAUGAUGAUGUAAGAGUCUCUUCUUACUCCCACUUGCAAUUUAUGCUAGCUGUUUCUGCACAGGAUGUUUGUAUACGAGUUUUGUUCUAUAGCCGUCCAAAGAGGUACCAGCUUUCCAACUUUAUGCAUAUAAACUCUCUGUACUAUAUGCUUUUAUGGAUGUAUUACUCUAUGUAAAGCUUUGUAUAUUUCCUGUGUAAAUCAGAACACUGAACAGUGAUGAAAAGACACUCCUCACUGUGAAUUAGUAAUUACAUUAAUACGUUAGUCUGAGAAAUUUUGAGCUGGAAAUUCAAAGGAAGCUUUACUACAUGCCAUUUUAGAAGAUGCCUUAUCUGAACCACUGUUUUGGCACAUUCUAGAUAGUAUUCAGAACCACAUUUUUUAUUCAAAACCAGAAAAAGGAGUUGAAACACUGAAUUUUUGCAGACAAGCUAAGUACCUUUUCAAAUUUAACACCAUGCUUAUUUCUUUUUAGCAGUAAACAGAACCAGUAACAAAAACCUGUAUCAAUAUGAAAUUUUUCAUUUCUUCUUGAAGUCAAAUGACUAUAAAUGAGCAGCUAGUGAAGUCCCAUCAUCCACACCAGCUGAUAACCUAGCUGAAGCCGUAUACGCAUUUAAGCCUUUGAAAGGAUCGAAGUAUUCUGUAACAGUAUUUCAGGUUGUCGUGGCUCAUGGGCAGUGCUUCCGUGGCUUCAGUUAUAUUAAUGUGUACGAACCACAUCUCAUUUGUACUUUACACCACUCACAAAGUACAGAGGAACCUUGAGAUGAAAAUAAAUUAUAUAUAUUCGUAGAUUAAGGCUCUUCAGAGUGUUAAAUGCAAAGUGGCAUUUUUAUGCCUCAGGAGAGUCAGGCUGAGUGUCCAUAUGUAGCAAAUAACUUAAAACUCUGGCCUUCUUAGAAAUACUGACUGCAAGGUCUGGCAUUUUGAGGUCCCUAUAACUACUGAACAGAUUUGGCUAUAUGUGUGGUAGAGUUGUGUAAUCCUGGCCAAAUGAAUGUGUAACAUUCCUGUUUGUGUAAUAAGUACUUAAACUAUGCAUAGGUAUAUUGUUUAGUUAAAUAUCCAUAGAAAACAAAAUUAGUCUGUGCGUAAGAAGAUAGUUCUUCACAGUGCAAACCUAGCUUGGGAGAAGCUCUGACUAUGUUGUGGUCAGAGAAUGAGGACAUAGGGACUCCUGAGUUUUAAUCCCCCUUCAUCAAAUUCUUUUGUGGAUUUAAGUAAUUUAAAAUCUGUCCCUUCUGUAUAGUGAUAAUCAUAAUGAUAAUCAACCAUAACUACUUUAAAGGGGUGUUCAGAUUAGCUAGAGAGUGUUUUGAAAAUGCUUUGAAGGUGAAAAGCACUAUAUCAAGGCAAAAGGUCUUAUUAUUUUUCAUUAUAACAAAAAUUGCUGUGAAGAAAUAAUAGUGCUGGGUACACAUAGCCAAAAUUUGAAUUGCUCUUUCUAAAGCUACUUCAAAGAAAAAACAUUCACAUUAAAGAGAAGGGAAAAUAAAGACUCGAUCAAGUCAAAUUUACCUUCCACAUUCAUUGACGUAGAUCUCAAUGUCAGGAGUUCCCAUUAUGCUGUACUGUUUGUAGCCUUCGUUGUUUCUGUCUCACAGAUUCACACAAUUUAUUUCAAUAGCAAUGGAGGAUUGGACACGUGUCGAGGGAGAUCAUUCUUUAUAUGCUUCUAUAGCAGCCAUGACUUGAGACAAAGAGGAAGCCCAUAUUCACCAUACACUGCAUUACAAAACAGGCUUAUUCUUGCACAGUACAUGUAAUUUACCUGUUUUCUCCUGUACACUGGAAACAGUGUGCUUGACCCAGUCCUCAAGGUGAUCAUUAAAAAUUUCAGCUGACUUCAAAGAAAAAUGAGAUGAGGUAUUUGGUGUUACGACUAAUGAUUUUUAAGCAUAAAUAGCUUCAAGGUUGCUAUAUGGAAGCAUCUAAACAUUCUGGUCAGGAAUAUUUGAAAACCUUGGUUUCCAGCUCUUUGCUACUAUCCACUACCUAGAGUUCGUUGUUCUACAGCCUCCCUUACAGAGUGGAAAUGUCUGUGAACUCUCCCAAAGCAUGCCCAUAGAGGGCUAACCAGGUAAGUUCAAGCAGCCUUUAUCAGUAGCUCAAGUGAGGACAGCUGACUCUGCUGUGGGACUCUGAACAAUUUUUACCGCUCCAUCUAUUUGUAAAAUGAACAGUUGGCUUUUCCCUCAUUUGCAAGUAGUGUCAAGUAUCUUCAAGUGACUGUUUUACCAAUGCAGAAGUGCCAGGACAUGCCUUCCCUGGCAUUUUUUUUCUCUAGCAAAAAUCAUGAAGAAACUAACUUCAUCUGCUUUAAAGCUGUUCUGUGUUCUUGAAUGCUAAAUAGCCUAAUUAGCUUAAGAUUCCACAGCCUAGACAGGCAGAGCAUCCUAUCACCUGUUCAUAAAAGUGCUUAUAAAAUUAAUCUAGUUAGCUAUAGCAUCGGCUGCCACCCCAUGUGACUGUGCUGGAAUUUGCUCAGUCCUGAUUUACAACAUGCUUUUACUUCUAGUAUUUUAGCUGAUGCAUCAGCUUUAGCUUUACAUGCAUCAUGUGAAAAUUAAAAGGGGAAGAAUGAAAAUGAUUGACGUAAUUUUUCCAUUGAUUAGCACUGAGGUGGAGUUAUUUGGAUCUGAGAUGGACUGAGUUUACACAUAACUGUAAUCUGACUGCAUCUUAACUUCCUGUGUUUUCCUUGGCUCUGCUCAGACAGAACUUCUAUAUGACUUAUAUGACUAAAAGAUAGGUAGGCGCUGCCCCCAGCAAAUGAUGAUGGUAAACUGCCCCACCAGGGGAUGAGGCCUGGGAGGCAUCAUGACUCAGAGAUGUGUCUGACUCACACUGCCUCCCCUCAUUGUUGCAGGGGUGCAGAUGCUUAGUGUUGGCCCAAUGUGUCAAUCAAUUACUACAUGCCCAUCCCACACAGUCUUGCUACAAGCUAUGGCUAGAGAGUAGUGGGAGUGGGGCCAAGUGUUCACCUAAUUCUUGUCUCUACCUGCUCCCCUUAUGUAGGCCCACAGUACUUUUUAUUUCUGUAUAGUUAGACCCCUGGUCCAGUGGGUCCUCUGUAGAGGUGAAUAAGGGGGUAUUUAUGGCUUUAUUUAGAAGUUUGUUGUUACCUCUAGCCAACAUCUGGCUGUGCUGUGCCAGAUAAAAACCCACAUCACACUUUCAUGUGAGUUUUUUGCAGGUACAGCUUAUGUCCUUCAGCAAAGUGAUUUAAUUCUAGUAGGAAAAUGACUCCUUUUCUUUGUAUGAGGUAUUUCUUUGCUAAUGUAGCCUGUGUGGUUAGACCAGUUAAGCCUUGGUGUAUAUAUCAUCUCCUAACCCAUUAUCCAGCUCUAAAUAUCAAUUAAAAAUUAGGCCCAUGCAUGUUACCUGAAAAAGGGGGGGUUGUGCGUCUCUCUUAAAUUGCCAUCUUCCAAUGUAAUAAAACAGAGGCUUGAGCUAGGAAGGUGACAACUUAAAAAGCGUUUUAAUUCAGUAACUACUGUAAAAUACUGAGAGUGGAGAUAAGUAGUUAAAACUUUACAUGUACUAUUUUAGUUGGUCUCAUUAUAGAAUGACUGACACUGCAAUAAGAGGAAUAAAAUAAAACCCCCAAACCGAAGGACAUCCCAGGUUAGUAAAACAACAGUGAUCCUAACAAAGCGUUUGUGUGUGCUGAUACCGAUUAUGUGUAUGGCAUUUAUCUUAUCAUAGCUGAGAAAUAUGCAAUAUUUUAAAAAGAAUUUCUCCUAACAAAACCCAGGCAAGAUAGGAAAAAUAUUUACAGAUGUUAGACUAAAGGCUUGAUAAAGAAAGAGGCCUGGUGUUGAAAUGCCGAAGACCUCAGCUAGAACUCUAACUUGGUGAUCAGGUAGGUGGGGAGAGUUGUGCACCUCAGAAUGAGAGACCAAGAGAGGUGUCAUCGAGAGCUAGCUGAGUAAAUUCCAUCUUGUCUCUGCUACCAAGUGAGUCUUUUGGUGAAGAUAAAGAGUGAAUGCAGUGUAAUCCCACAAAGCACUUCUGUCCUGUCUGCAAAGAGAAGGGAGAGAAUUUCCCAGAAGACCUUCUCCAGGAGAAUUCUCUGCAUCCCACCUGUGAAGGGAGUACUGUGAUGCAUCCUCAGAAAUCUCCACCCAGCCAUCCCUUAGACUGGGUCACAAGGAAAAAAACAUUUGAUCAUAACAGGGAAUCUCCAUCAGAUGCUCACAUGAUAGAAGGUUUCAGAGGCUGAAAUUUUGUCUAUGAAGAAAAGUAUAGCUAAUUUCCAGUACAGAGGUGAACUUCAGUAUUUGCCUCUGAGCACAAAGAUUUAAGAGAGAGCUCUAAGGUAAAAAUCACAGUUCUCUUUGGAAAUAAUUGGGAUUAACAUUUUUUACUAUUGAUUUUUGCAGCUGUAAUAAACAGAACAUGAUUAACAGUA